rnacentral:rRNA from 1 species
GAUUGAGUUUGAUCAUGGCUCAGAACGAACGCUGGCGGCAGGCCUAAAACAUGCAAGUCGAACGAGCCUUCGGGUUAGAGGCGCACGGGUGAGUAACACGUGGGAACGUACCCUUUGGUGCGGAACAACGUCGGGAAACUGACGCUAAUACCGCAUAAUAUCUACGGAUCAAAGAUUUAUCGCCAAGGGAUCGGCCCGCGCCUGAUUAGGUAGUUGGUGGGGUAAUGGCCUACCAAGCCUACGAUCAGUAGCUGGUCUGAGAGGAUGAUCAGCCACACUGGGACUGAGACACGGCCCAGACUCCUACGGGAGGCAGCAGUUAGGAAUAUUGGACAAUGGGCGAAAGCCUGAUCCAGCCAUGCCGCGUGUGUGAUGAAGGCCUUAGGGUUGUAAAGCACUUUCGUCCGCGAAGAUAAUGACAGUACCGGAAGAAGAAGCUCCGGCUAAAUUCGUGCCAGCAGCCGCGGUAAUACGAAUGGAGCGAGCGUUGUUCGGAAUCACUGGGCGUAAAGCGUGCGCAGGUGGUCGUGAAAGUUAGAAGUGAAAGCCCAGGGCUUAACCUUGGAAUUGCUUUUAAAACUCCACGACUAGAGUAC